CUUUCUGGAAAUUAAGGUUCUGUUUCAUUUAAAAAUCUGUUUACAAUAAAGAGGCCCACAGAAGCCUAGCCUCUCCUGUCUUGCACAUAGAGUUACCUACCUAGGACCACACCUGUGUUCUGUGAAAGGAAACGGCUGACAAGAAACUGCUUUGGCCUGUGAUCAUGUCUCUCAAGGACUGUACAGGGGAAACGUGGACCACCGUUUUCUCCGCAAAUCCAUUCACAUUGCCAGCACCUCAAAACUUGGAGGGAAAGAACAAGCAGUUUCUCUAUCCUCAGAGCUGCCUGGACCACAUAUGGAGUCAUCUGUCACUUUAAGAAGCUGAGGGAUAAUGAGGUGCACAUCCAGAGACAGGCAACCAGCAGGACAAGGAGCCUGGAGAUCAAGUCACAGGAUGAAAACCUGCAGUACCUGGGAAUGUCUAGUUUGGAGAGGAGGACAAUCAAGAAUUACAAAGACUAAUUUCAAUAUUUAGAGCUCUGUAAUAUAGAAUAUGUCUUAAAAAGUGUUUGUGUGGUGGCAGACAACAACAUACAUCUGCAUCUAAGCAAGUGUCUGAGGGCAGCCCCCAGCCCAGCUCCAAGCAGUCACAAACUUCUAUCCUCCUCCUCCACAUCCCCUGAUUUUCUUGUGGGGGACUUAGUUACUUCAGGUUUCCUCCUUGGCUCUUUUCCCUCAUCCAAAAAAUAGAUGUACAAAUAGAUGUACAAAAAUAUAUAGAAAUAGAGACAUAUUCUUAUUCAGCCAUCAUUAUACAAGGGACGGUGUUUGCUUGGCCUGUCUAUAGGAGAUUUUAUUACUUAUGUCAAACCAUAAAUAUAUACAUGUACAAUAUGUAUAUAUAUCAUAUAUAUAAUGUUUUGAUUAUAAACAUAUUUCAUGUUCCUUAUAGGGAAAAAUUAGAAAAUGUAAAAUACAGGAAUUAUGUAUAGUCUUACUACCUAAUCACUGCUAAAAUUGUGCUUAUUUUCCUCAUGACUUUUCUCGCCCAGUAUUUUAAUAAAGCUGUGAUCUUUGCAUACA
rnacentral:lncRNA from 1 species